UACAGAGGGGGCAAGCGUUGUUCGGAAUUACUGGGCGUAAAGGGCGCGUAGGCGGCCCGCUAAGUCGAACGUGAAAUCCCCGAGCUCAACUCGGGAACUGCGUCCGAUACUGGCGGGCUUGAAUCCGGGAGAGGGAUGCGGAAUUCCAGGUGUAGCGGUGAAAUGCGUAGAUAUCUGGAGGAACACCGGUGGCGAAGGCGGCAUCCUGGACCGGUAUUGACGCUGAGGAGCGAAAGCCAGGGGAGCAAACGGG
rnacentral:rRNA from 1 species